rnacentral:rRNA from 1 species
UACGAAGGGGGCUAGCGUUGCUCGGAAUCACUGGGCGUAAAGGGUGCGUAGGCGGGUCUUUUAAGUCAGGGGUGAAAUCCUGGAGCUCAACUCCAGAACUGCCUUUGAUACUGAGGAUCUUGAGUUCGGGAGAGGUGAGUGGAACUGCGAGUGUAGAGGUGAAAUUCGUAGAUAUUCGCAAGAACACCGGUGGCGAAGGCGCUGCUUUGGGCCGAUACUGACGCUGAGGAGCGAAAGCGUGGGUAGCAAACAGGAUUAGAA